GAGGGAGGCAGCUGACGUUCAGAGAGAGAGGAUAGCAAAGGGAGAUGAACUGAGGGCAGGCAGGGGCCAGACUACACACUCCGCGGUAAGGAACUGGGAUUCCGUUCUAGCACUAAUGCAAACGCAAUGGACAGUUUUGAGCUGGGCAUAAUCAUAUGCAUUUUUAAAAGAUCACUCUGACUCCUAAGUGACCUUUUUCAAGUUAUGGUGACGAUUAAGACUUGGCAUGGUGGGCAGGGUGAGGAUAGCCAACUGUGAAAGCAGGGAGACCCAUUAGAAAGUUACUGCAAGGGUCCAGGCAACAGGUGGCUGGCUCGGAUCAGGCUGCUGGUGGUGAAGGUGAAAGUGGGGAGAAGGGGUUGGAUUCAGAAUAUUUUUUGGAAACAAGCCAACCAGGCGUGUUGAUGACAGAAACUGGCAGUGAGGAGUAGAAUCAAUUACGACUUCGUUUUGGCUAGAGCUGGCGGUGGACAGGAAUGCCAAUAACUGAGCCAGAGAUGCCUGGGUGGGAAAUGGAUUUGAGGAAGAGAGAGCCAAAGCCCUGUUGGGUUUGCCUACUGGAUGUUCAAUAGUUUAUAUUCAGGAGAUGGGUGAAUAUGUGAGCCUGGAGCUCAGAGGAGAGACUGGGGCCAGGAUAUAUAUUUGGCAAUCCUCAGUAUACAGGUAAUACUUGUAGCCAUGCCUGGGAGAGAUCACCAAGGCAGAAAGGGAAGACAUAGAAGAAGAAGGAAGUGGAGAAUGCCUGGGGGCCAGGGAUUAGGGUGCUAAUGAAAGCAGGUGCAGAUGGUGCAGAAGACUGAGAAGGAGCGGCCAGCCAGGCAGGAGGAACCCAAAGCCGACAGGAACGGUGUUUCAAGAUGGAGCAAAUAUCCAGUGCUGCAGAGAAAAUCAGGUUCAUCACAUAAUGAUAGAAGGCAACAGUGUUCCUCUGUAUCGGGGCCUGUCUACAGCUCUGUGGUGACUUUAUUCACUAAAAUGCUGUUACUCAAGAUUCACCUGUUAUCUGGGUUGUCAGGGAGAUGACUGCAGGAAGUCCAGAGGACAAAGCCUGGAUGCCGACACUGUAGUUGGUCCCUGCGCGCAGGUCCAAGCACAUCUCUGGAGCCCGGCUGCUGGUAGUGAUAUUAAAGGUCAUUUCCUGGACAAAUUCCUUCUGAUACCAUCGCUGGCCCUGAACGUGGAACUGAAACAUAGAAAAGUUCACAAGAUGAAUCGCUGGCUUGAAAGGCUCUCAACACCUGGAUACUGACCCCUUCUCAUGAGCUCUCUUGCCCUUAACUCUAAAGUUCCUUCAAAAAGUGAAAUACAACAGUAAGCAAAUAUUACAGUUGAGAUACCAUAAAUAGUGUAGUUAUAAGAGUAUCAGUAUAAUAAAUAUGUUUUAAAGUCAAAAUGCACAAAAGGCCACAGCCCUGAUAAUGACAAGCCUCCCUUUGUUUUCGCACAUACAGUGCAUGUGCCCAACGGGAAUGUAUGCUGGCAAGACUGCGGGGCCCAGGCCAAAGGACAUGGGCCUAGAAAGAAAAUUAAGAAUCUGAACUCAGGCUUCUCCAAAGCAGGACGACUGAAUUAGGAUACUCCUAGUUGGUCUGGUAAAACCUGAGGAGGGUUUUUCUCUUCUGCCUGCCCCCUUCUGACAUUACCUGCACUUUCCUGGAUCAUCCCAGCCCUUGGGCCAAUAGACAACACUCUUCUUUCCACUUAAUUUAGUAGCAACUUAGCUCAUGGUCUUUACCUUUCUUACAACCACACUAGCUUCCAGAGUUCCUUUGACUCUCUAGGCAACACAUUCAGACCCUGGUCAGAGACACUGGUGUGGAGAGACCCACACAUGCAAAAGCCCUUGGAUUCCUUCCACGGAUCCUGCCUGAACAUCGCCUCUGCAUCGGGUUGUGUGCACAAAGAAACCUCCGUGGCUUUCACAUCAGUUCCCAAGGUCUGUCUUCAAAAAUGCAUCAUGACUUCCCAUGCUCUUGCUUCUCAUGCAAUUGUCACUAUAAAUCUUCCUUUGAUAACAGCAGCUAUAUAAGCAGAUUUUUAGGUUUGUUGGUAUUUUUUUAAACCUCUCACACAAAACACAUGUAGAGUAACUUGCAGUAACUUACUAAAUACAUCUCCUCUGUGUCAGCUGUCUUCAUGCUUCUCCAUCUCAAGCAGGUUUCAUUAAAUAUUGAAAUGUUACCAAUGGUCUGUUUUACUGUAGGGGGAAAAGAAUGAGAAAUCAACAUAUUCCAUACAAAAAUACUUGCUUUCAAUUGAACCAUUUUCCAAGGUCAAGCUUUUACAUAGGAAGAUUUCAGCAGUACUGUAAUUUAGAGAUGAGUGGUUGCAGCCCAAGAAAUGCCACUUUUCUAUUUAUGUGAACUCAGUCCUGAUGAAAGAUUUAAGAUCAAAAGAGGACCCUCCUAAAAAUUAUGUCUGUCUAGCACUGUAAACUUCCUUGGUUUACUAAGCAAAAACUGCAACUCCUUGUCCUCACCAUAGACAACCUCAUUUGUACAAAUAAGCAUCCAUUUGAAAUUCUGAGUUGAGAGUAACACUUUCACAGAGAACUGAGAACUGCUCCUUGAGAAACCGAAAAAGUCUCUCUCCAGCAGACGAGCCUCUCACGGGUCCCUCUUGGUCUGGGCUUCCUCAUCUCUUCUGGCCAAAGAAGCAUUUGUUAGUCUCCGCUCAAGUUCACGGUAUUCAAUCCAGAAGGCAGUUUAGAUCUGGUACGGUGUAAUACAGAGGUACAUUCCUCAAGCUUUUUAAAAUAAAGACUAGUUAUUCAAAACUGA